CCUCCAAGAUGGGGACAACCUUCCGAAAGGAGGGCUAAUACCGAAUGAGACCACGAUUUCUACGGAAAUUGAGGUCAAAGGGUGGCCUCUACUUGUAAGCUAUCGCUUGGAGAUGAGCUUAUGCACCAUUAGCUAGUUGGUAAGGUAACGGCUUACCAAGGCUUUGAUGGUUAGCUGAUCUGAGAGGUUGAUCAGCCACACUGGAACUGAGACACGGUCCAG
rnacentral:rRNA from 1 species